rnacentral:rRNA from 1 species
AUUGAACGCUGGCGGCAGGCUUAACACAUGCAAGUCGAGCGGGGUGAUGGUGCUUGCACUAUCACUUAGCGGCGGACGGGUGAGUAAUGCUUAGGAAUCUGCCUAUUAGUGGGGGACAACAUCUCGAAAGGGAUGCUAAUACCGCAUACGUCCUACGGGAGAAAGCAGGGGAUCACUUGUGACCUUGUGCUAAUAGAUGAGCCUAAGUCGGAUUAGCUAGUUGGUGGGGUAAAGGCCUACCAAGGCGACGAUCUGUAGCUGGUCUGAGAGGACGACCAGCCAAACUGGGACUGAGACACGGCCCAGACUCCUACGGGAGGCAGCAGUGGGGAAUUUUGGACAAUGGGCGCAAGCCUGAUCCAGCCAUGCCGCGUGCGGGAAGAAGGCCUUCGGGUUGUAAACCGCUUUUGUCGGGGAAGAAAUGCUCCGGGAUAAUACCCUGGGGGGAUGACGGUACCCGAAGAAUAAGCACCGGCUAACUACGUGCCAGCAGCCGCCGUAA